UUCGCCGUCUUCGUUUCUCUUUCUUCGCGGACGAACACGCGCUGGGCCUGCAACGGCAGGAUCCAGGGUCCUUAACGGGAUAUGCGUUAGGGGCUUGUAGCUCAGUUGGUUAGAGCGCGCGCUUGAUAAGCGUGAGGUCGGAAGUUCAAGUCUUCCCAGGCCCACCACUUUCAUCGAGUGAGCAUUCGUCUUCUGGUUACGGGGCCAUAGCUCAGCUGGGAGAGCGCGUGCUUUGCAAGCAUGAGGUCGUCGGUUCGAUCCCGUCUGGCUCCACCAGAUGGUUUGAUCACCGAGAUCUCAUACCGUCGUCCGCGAAACAUCACUUCGCAUCCUGCUAGUCUGGAUAGACAGCAAGAUGCGUGUUUUCUGACAUCGUAAAGAGGAGAUCGAUCCGAGUUGGGUCGUGCAGCAGAUUGUUGCGCGAAUCCUUCAUUAUCUCCGGAUCAUUUUCGGCGCUUGCUUCCAGCCGUGAGGUUGGAUGCAAGUUGUAAAAUGAUCCUUUUAGCGAAGCUUGACCGCCUCGCUAUCGGAACGAUCUUACGAAGCAAGCUGGUCUUUCUAGUCAAUGUCCGGCUGUACGUAGCAUUCAUCGAGGGUGCGCGCCGCAAGGCAAUCGUACAGACAACAUUCUGCCGAGUGUGUGGACAUUGAUAAUGAGAGCAAUCAAGUGCCUUAAAGGUGUUCGGUGGAUGCCUUGGCGCUGAGAGGCGAUGAAGGACGUGCUACGCUGCGAUAAGCCGUGGGGAGCUGCGAAGAAGCUUUGAUCCGCGGAUUU
rnacentral:misc_RNA from 1 species